rnacentral:rRNA from 1 species
UACGGGGGGAGCAAGCGUUGUUCGGAUUUACUGGGCGUAAAGGGCGCGUAGGCGGCGCAACAAGUCACUUGUGAAAUCUCCGGGCUUAACCCGGAGCGGCCAAGUGAUACUGUCGUGCUAGAGUGCGGAAGGGGCUACUGGAAUUCUCGGUGUAGCGGUGAAAUGCGUAGAUAUCGAGAGGAACACCUGCGGCGAAGGCGGGUUGCUGGGCCGACACUGACGCUGAGGCGCGAAAGCGUGGGGAGCAAACAGG